UACGUAGGGGGCAAGCGUUGUCCGGAAUCAUUGGGCGUAAAGAGCGCGUAGGCGGCCCUGUAAGUCCGCUGUGAAAGUCAAGGGCUCAACCCUUGGAUGCCGGUGGAUACUGCAGGGCUAGAGUCCGGAAGAGGCGAGUGGAAUUCCUGGUGUAGCGGUGAAAUGCGCAGAUAUCAGGAGGAACACCGAUGGCGAAGGCAGCUCGCUGGGACGGUACUGACGCUGAGGUGCGAAAGCGUGGGGAGCGAACAGG
rnacentral:rRNA from 1 species